UACAGAGGUCUCAAGCGUUGUUCGGAUUCAUUGGGCGUAAAGGGUGCGGAGGCGGCAGUGCAAGUCAGGUGUGAAAUCCCGGGGCUCAACCCCGGAACUGCACUUGAUACUGCUCUGCUAGAGUACUGGAGAGGAGACUGGAAUUUACGGUGUAGCAGUGAAAUGCGUAGAUAUCGUAAGGAAGACCAGUGGCGAAGGCGAGUCUCUGGACAGUUACUGACGCUGAGGCACGAAGGCCAGGGGAGCAAACGGG
rnacentral:rRNA from 1 species